AGAGUUUGAUCCUGGCUCAGGAUGAACGCUGGCGGCGUGCUUAACACAUGCAAGUCACGGGGGCCAGCAAUGGCAACCGGCGAACGGGUGCGUAACACGUGAGCAACCUACCGAAAUGAGGGGGAUAGCCGGCCCAACGGCCGGGUAAUACCGCAUACGCUCGAGACCAGGCAUUUGGACUCGAGGAAACCUCCGGGGCAUUUCGAGGGGCUCGCGGCCUAUCAGCUAGUUGGUGAGGUAAGAGCUUACCAAGGCGACGACGGAUAGGGGGCCUGAGAGGGUGAACCCCCACACUGGGACUGAGACACGGCCCAGACUCCUACGGGAGGCAGCAGUGAGGAAUAUUGCACAAUGGGCGCAAGCCUGAUGCAGCAACGCCGCGUGGAUGAUGAAGGUCUUCGGGUCGUAAAAUCCUUUUCUUGGUGACGAGCAAGGACGGUAGCCAAGGAAUAAGCGUCGGCUAACUACGUGCCAGCAGCCGCGGUAAAACGUAGGACGCAAGCGUUAUCCGGAGUUACUGGGCGUAAAGAGCAAGUAGGCGGUAGAGUAAGUUGUCUAUGAAAACGACUGGCUAAACUGGUCGGGGAUAGAUGAGACUGCUGUACUAGGGUCUGACAGAGAAGCAUGGAAUUCCGGGUGUAGUGGUGAAAUGCGUAGAGAUCCGGAGGAACACCAGAGGCGAAGGCGAUGCUUUAGGUCAGUACCGACGCUCAGAUGCGAAAGCAUGGGUAGCGAACGGGAUUAGAAACCCCGGUAGUCCAUGCCGUAAACGAUGCACACUAGACGUUCGUUUUGCCGAAAGGCGAGUGAGUGUCGCAGCUAACGCGCUAAGUGUGCCGCCUGGGGAGUACGGUCGCAAGGCUAAAACUUAAAGGAAUUGACGG
rnacentral:rRNA from 1 species